rnacentral:tRNA from 1 species
CGGGGCGUGGCGCAGUUUGGUAAGCGCGCUUGCUUUGGGAGCAAGAGGUCGUGAGUUCAAAUCUCACCGCCCCGAC